rnacentral:rRNA from 1 species
AAAAACAGCUUCUCGUAUGAUCAUCGAAGUUAAGCAACAUCUAGCCUGGUCAGUACCUAGAUGGGUGACCGUUUGAGAAUACCAGGUGCUGAA